AGAGUUCGAUCAUGGCUCAGGAUGAACGCUAGCUACAGGCUUAACACAUGCAAGUCGAGGGGCAGCGGGAAGUCAGCUUGCUGACUUUGCCGGCGACCGGCGCACGGGUGAGUAACGCGUAUCCAACCUUCCGUUUACUCAGGGAUAGCCUUUCGAAAGAAAGAUUAAUACCUGAUAGUAUGGUAAGAUUGCAUGGUAAUACCAUUAAAGAUUCAUUGGUAAACGAUGGGGAUGCGUUCCAUUAGGUAGUAGGCGGGGUAACGGCCCACCUAGCCUACGAUGGAUAGGGGUUCUGAGAGGAAGGUCCCCCACAUUGGAACUGAGACACGGUCCAA
rnacentral:rRNA from 1 species